GUAAUAUGAAUUUAAUAUCUUGUUCAAAAAUUCUAACAAAAUUAAACAGGAAAAUUAAUACAAAAAAUCAAUAUUUUUUGUGGGGUAUAUUUUUCAAAAAUAAAAGAAAUUAUGAUCAAAUAUAUAGUGAUUUUUUUUUUUUUUAUCAUCUCUUAUUAAAUUGUUUAUAUGUUUUGAAAAGUUUAGAAUCUAUUUCUGUGAUCCAAAAAGUUGAGACCCAAAACCAGGUCUCCACUUUGUAGUCGAUCCCCAUUAAAAAGAUGUUUAUUCAUACUUUGAUCCCAAAAAUGCACUUUGCCCCCCCCACACACACAUUUUAUAUAUAUACAUACACAUACACAUAUAUAUACACACACAAUAAAACUGUUGGUCAUCACAUUCUCUUCUAUCUUCAUUCUUCCAGGCCAAACUAAUGAGUAAUGCCAUCUCUAUUUCCCACAAUAUAGUAGAAUUUGGAUUUUUCAUCACUUCAUUUGAUUUAUUAGUUUAU
rnacentral:lncRNA from 1 species